AAUCAACGCUGGCGGCGUGCCUCAGACAUGCAAGUCGAACGAUUAAAGCUCCCUUCGGGGAGUGCAUAGAGUGGCGCACGGGUGAGUAACACGUAAGUAAUCUACCCUUGAGUGGGGAAUAACGUUCGGAAACGGACGCUAAUACCGCAUAAUGCAGCGGCAUCGCAAGAUGACAGUUGUUAAAGGAGCAAUCCGCUUAAAGAGGAGCUUGCGGCAGAUUAGCUUGUUGGUAAGGUAACGGCUUACCAAGGCUACGAUCUGUAUCCGGUCUAAGAGGACGGUCGGACACACUGACACUGAAUAACGGGUCAGACUCCUACGGGAGGCAGCAGUCGGGAAUUUUGGGCAAUGGGCGAAAGCCUGACCCAGCAACGCCGCGUGAAGGAUGAAGUAUUUCGGUAUGUAAACUUCGAAAGAAUAGGAAGAAUAAAUGACGGUACUAUUUAUAAGCUCCGGCUAACUACGUGCCAG
rnacentral:rRNA from 1 species